CUUCUGCCAAGAAUUCAGUCCCCCAGCCUAUUCUGUCGAAACCUGGACCCGCAAAACUUGUACUUGGAAAUUGGUCUCUGUCCUGUAAGAAAGAGAAGGAACUCCUUAUCCACAACACAGAUGGCCAGCAGCAGACAACAAUACUUCGUGAGGAUUUACCUGGUUUUAUAUUUGAAUCUAAUAGAGGAACCAAACACUCCUUUACAGCAGAAACAUUUUUAGGGCCGGAACUAUCGAGUGGCUGGGUGGAUCGAAGAGCCGUGCUGGUUAAUAAUGGUAACAACAGUCAAAAUCGAUCUCGCCUUUCCGCUAAAACUGAAGCACAAAAAAC